rnacentral:rRNA from 1 species
GUGGGGAAUCUUGCGCAAUGGGCGAAAGCCUGACGCGGCCAUGCCGCGUGAAUGAUGAAGGUCUUAGGAUUGUAAAAUUCUUUCACCGGGGACGAUAAUGACGGUACCCGGAGAAGAAGCCCCGGCUAACUUCGUGCCAGCAGCCGCGGUAAUACGAAGGGGGCUAGCGUUGCUCGGAAUUACUGGGCGUAAAGGGCGCGUAGGCGGACAUUUAAGUCAGGGGUGAAAUCCCAGAGCUCAACUCUGGAACUGCCUUUGAUACUGGGUGUCUUGAAUGUGAGAGAGGUAUGUGGAACUCCGAGUGUAGAGGUGAAAUUCGUAGAUAUUCGGAAGAACACCAGUGGCGAAGGCGACAUACUGGCUCAUUACUGACGCUGAGGCGCGAAAGCGUGGGGAGCAAACAGGAUUAGAAACCCGAGUAGUCC